CCGGGUGUGGCGAAGCUUGGUAUCGCGCCUGGUUUGGGACCAGGAGAUUUCGCAGGUUCGAAUCCUGUCACCCGGA
rnacentral:tRNA from 6 species